rnacentral:siRNA from 1 species
UAACUUCUGGUGAUCAUGAAUC